AGCUUUCUGAAUCCGUGCUGAGAUUUCGUCAGACAUUAGGGCUGAUCAGACUUCCAAGAUAAGUGAAGUU
rnacentral:pre_miRNA from 1 species